UGCUGGUUCUCCCGCAACGCUACUCUGUUUACCAGGUCAGGUCCGGAAGGAAGCAGCCAAGGCAGAUGACGCGUGUGCCGGGAUGUAGCUGGCAGGG
rnacentral:SRP_RNA from 2 species